rnacentral:misc_RNA from 1 species
GAAAUGCGAUAAGUAAUGUGAAUUGCAGAAUUCAGUGAAUCAUCGAAUCUUUGAACGCACCUUGCGCUCCUUGGUAUUCCUUGGAGCAUGCCUGUUUGAGUAUCAUGAAAUCUUCAAAGUAAAUCUUUUGUUAACUCAAUUGGUUUCUACUUUGGUAUUGGAGGUCUUUGCAGCUUCACACCUGCUCCUCUUUGUUCAUUAGCUGGAUCUCAGUGUUAUGCUUGGUUCCACUCGGCGUGAUAAGUUAUCUAUCGCUGAGGACACUGUAAAAGGUGGCCAAGGUAAAUGCAGAUGAACCGCUUCUAAUAGUCCAUUGACUUGGACAAUACUUUUAUGAUCUGAUCUCAAAUCAGGUAGGACUUCCCGCUGAACUUAAGC